GACGAACGCUGGCGGCGUGCCUAAUACAUGCAAGUCGAACGCUGAAGGCUGAGCUUGCUUCUCUGGAUGAGUUGCGAACGGGUGAGUAACGCGUAGGUAACCUGCCUGGUAGCGGGGGAUAACUAUUGGAAACGAUAGCUAAUACCGCAUAAUAUUGACUCUUGCAUGAUAGUCAGUUGAAAGUUUCAACUGCACCACUACCAGAUGGACCUUCGUUGUAUUAGCUAGUUGGUGGGGUAACGGCUCACCAAGGCGACGAUACAUAGCCGACCUGAGAGGGUGAUCAGCCACACUGGGAGGGAGACACGGCCCAGACUCCUACGGGAGGCAGCAGUAGGGAUGCGUCAGGAAGGGAUGGAAGUCAGACCGAGCAACGCGGAGGGAGUGAAGAAGGUUGUCGGAUCGUAAAGGUCGGUUGUAAGAGAAGAACGAGUGUGAGAGUGGAAAGCUCACACUGUGACGGUAUCUUACCAGAAAGGGACGGCUAACUACGUG
rnacentral:rRNA from 1 species